AUUGAACGCUGGCGGCAGGCCUAACACAUGCAAGUCGAGCGGAUGAAGGGAGCUUGCUCCUGGAUUCAGCGGCGGACGGGUGAGUAAUGCCUAGGAAUCUGCCUGGUAGUGGGGGAUAACGUCCGGAAACGGGCGCUAAUACCGCAUACGUCCUGAGGGAGAAAGUGGGGGAUCUUCGGACCUCACGCUAUCAGAUGAGCCUAGGUCGGAUUAGCUAGUUGGUGGGGUAAAGGCCUACCAAGGCGACGAUCCGUAACUGGUCUGAGAGGAUGAUGAGUCACACUGGAACUGAGACACGGUCCAGACUCCUGAGGGAGGCAGCAGUGGGGAAUAUUGGACAAUGGGCGAAAGGCUGAUCCAGCCAUGCCGCGUGUGUGAAGAAGGUCUUCGGAUUGUAAAGCACUUUAAGUUGGGAGGAAGGGCAGUAAGUUAAUACCUUGCUGUUUUGACGUUACCAACAGAAUAAGCACCGGCUAACUUCGUG
rnacentral:rRNA from 1 species